GGUAAAACCCCACAUCAACCCCAGUAAUCAAACGGCUCUAGAUAAUCUCACAGUGCCCUAACGCUCAAGGGUCCAGACUUAUGAUGUUUGGAGCGGUAGAAAUUAAAACAAAGAAAGCAGCUUUUUCAUAUCUGAAACUCAUGAAAUUUGCUCUUGUAAUUUGUCAUUAUCGGGCAGUAAACAAAGACCAAUUUCUCUUAUUAACCAGCCAAACCCAAAGCCACCCCAUGCCGUUCCUUUGAGUUGAGUUUCAGAUAGAGAUAGAUACGUGCAUUUUUGGCAUCAGAAACGAGGGUUGAAAAAAAAAAAAAGAAGGGGGGAGAGGGACUAGCUAGGGAGGGUUGAGUGAACCCAAGAAAAGACUGAAGAGAGGGGUUUGAACCUUUGAGGGAUUCAUCAGGAACGAGGGGCUAGGGAAGAAUAACUAUGAUGAUCCUUUGAUCCUUCUAAAAUAUUAUGCCCUAUUGCGCACAGACAGAGAAUGGAAUGAACCAUCCAAUCCAAUCUGAUUAUUUUUUAGCUCGUCUUUUUGAGUGUUAAGCCACUUCUUCUUCCCUUGUUCCCUUUUCAAUUAAUUACACCCAUCACCCUCCACCACCUUCCUUCUCUCUCUCUCUCUCUCUCUCUCUCUCUCAUUUACUGUGCUGCUAUCCUCGCAUCUUAAAUAAACCCAUCUGCCUCAUCUAUCUCUAUUGUCCAAAAAAAUUGUUAUUUCACUUUCUAUCGCCUUAUUUUUGUGUGUUUGUGUCGUCCUCCUAUGGUGAAUACAAGGAGUACAGUUUUAGCUUUCAUGUGGGUUUAACAAAGGGUUUCUUACAGAGUUUAUUGGCAUUCUGUCCACCUCCCAUCUAUAGAAAACUCUCUCUCUCUCUCUCUCUCUCUCUCUCUCAUGUGGAGGUGGGCAUACUGCCAACUGAGCUCUGUUGGUCUCUCUUUGUAAAACCCUCGUGAUGUAUCCUUCAGUUGAAUCGGUUCUCUCUCACUCCCCUUUGAGAAAGAUCAAGAUAUUGGUAGAUUCUUUCUUGCCCUCAUGGCCCCUACUCUUAUCACCCCAACUUCACUUCCGUAAGAAGAGGGGGGAAAUAUCGGAAAAGAAAGGAACAUAUAUCUUAAAGGUACUUCCUUUUAUCAUCCAAAGUACUUUUGCAGGUUUCAAUUAUCUGCAACACAUCAUUCACAGGUCUUCAGUUUGGUUUUUCUAGAUCUUCAGGUAUGGCUUAGGUGGGGAACUUUCAUUUUACUAUCCUCUUUCCCCUUUUCAUUUAUCUGAUUUUGUUUGUUUCCUUCUAAUUCAUCAAGCAGUGCAUAUAUACAUAUCUGCUUCGUUUAUGUCGCUUUCGAUCUAGGGUUUUAUCUGUCCUUUUCUCUUGCUCCAAGCCAGGGAAUUAGGGCUCAAAGUCGAAAUGGAUUCGAGGGUAUGAAUUAUAAAGGCUUGAUCUUUGCUUCUGAAGUCUUCGAAGAGGCUGAGUAACUCAACGGUAGCUCCUGAGCUCCAUAAGUGGUCUUUGGAUUAAAGCUGUUAAAUUGUAAUCAUCAUAAGUGUAGAUUAUUUGUCAGAUCACAAUCAAAGGUGGAGAUUUCAUUGUUCAUGGCUUCAUGCAUGUCUGCCACCGUUGUUCUUUAACCUAUUUUUUUUU